AUGAGCUCCGUCGUCUCCCGUCUCCUCCGCUCCUUCCGUCUCCCGCCCUCGCACCAGCCCCACCACGCCGCCGUGAGGCGAUCACAAGUCGUGGGCUCUAAUGGGCAAGCCUUAUUCAAGCAGAUCGCGCCGCCACUCCAUCGGCACAAGUGCAGCAGUUCCUCGCAGAGACCGGCGACCCACAUCGCAGGCAGGCACUCCCGGUGGUGGAAGGUCGCCGCGGCGGCGGCGGCGGCGACUCUCGUCUCUAGCGGCGCGGCGGCGGCGGCCGCGGUCUGCAGCUUAUACCUCGAGACAGUGCCCUACACCGACCGCAAGCACUUGAUCGUCCGCUCCAUCGAGUACGAGCGCCGGCUGGGUGACUUUGCGUUCCGCUAUGUCAGGGAGAUGUACGGCGCAUCCAACAUGGUCGACCGGCUCCACCCCGAGAGCGUCCGGGUCUACCUCAUCACCUCCGAGCUCGUCCGGGCCAUCCACCGAGGCCUGAGCCUCAAGCAAGGGGAUGGUCCAGAGGCGGCACGUCGGCACACGGCGCAUCUCGACGGCCUCGACUCGACUGGGACGUCAUCCUUGUCCGAGAUAAGGAGUUCAGAGCUCGCAGCACCCCUAGCGGCAAGAUUAUCCUGCACACUGGGUGCUUGGACCUUCUCAAGACCGAUGAGGAGAUGGCCUCUAUUAUUGCACACGAGCUUAACGAAAUGUAUCAUUGCGUGGGGUGACACUCUUUCCCAGGCGGGUAAGAAAACAAUGAUUAAGUCCGUGGCACAAGCGAUUCCAACCUAUAUAAUGGAGGUGUUCAAACUGCCAUAUUCAGUGUGUGAUGAUCUAUCCAGACUCGUGCGGAAUUUUUGGUGGGGCUCCAAACAAGGGAAAAGGAAGACACACUAG
rnacentral:rRNA from 1 species